rnacentral:tRNA from 1 species
UCAGCUCGAGCUCCGACGGCGACGGGGCGCGGGUGUUCGUGGCGUCUGCCGACCCGUUGUCUCCCCGGCUCGAGUCCGGCGUGCUCGCC